UGUCCUCCGUGGUGAAGUAUUCAGCCACUACGUCCUUCAUGACUGCGACAAUUAACCCAUGGCCCUCAGUCCCCAGCGACUGCAGCGCACCUGCUCAAGGUGGCGGUAUUGGAGUGAACUCCCGCCGUACAAGAUUUUGGACAACUUAUCCCGUCUUCUCAGGCAUCGCGAGUUCUCUCAUGACACACAUCAGCCUCCACACGAACGCCCGCAACUGCCGUCAGCCAGACAUUGGACUCUCCUCCGCGACGUGACAAAUACCGCGACAUAUACUUUAAGGCAGUUCAACAGGAUGUAAUCUCUGAGAACAGACAGAAAAAGCCUUUCCGCAACAGCUUCCCUUACGAAGAAGAAAAAGCAUUAAGAAACCUCAGCGGCAAGACAGACAUAGAAGCCCGCGGACAAAGGAGGCGCUAUUGUAAUUAUGAAUACCAAGGAUUACACGAAAGAAGCGGAUCGCCAUCUAGGGUACACCACGUUUUACAAACAGGUAGACGCAGAAUUUAAAGCAGUCGUUCGGAAGGCCCUCAGUGACAUUCUAAAUGUAAACAGGAUCAGUAGUUCCGUUGCCAAAUCCUUGCUUUCUCUAAGCUCUACCUCAGGCAGGUUUUAUCACGUACCAAAAAUACAUAAAGACGAUAAUCCGUGCCGACCCAUUGGCUCUAGGAUUGGAACCAUAUCAGAAAGAAUUUCGGGUUACGCAGAUGACCUAGUUAGAGGAAUUUCGCCUUCAUUCUCUUCUUACAUAAAAGACAUUUCUAUACCCCCGGCAGCGUCUGAGUCACCCUAGACCUUGCACCCUUGUAUACAUUUAUACCACACGCGGAUUUUAUUCUUUGAGAUUUGUCAUCUCGCUCUUCAUUUCCUCCUUCCUCCCCUCCUUCCUAUCUGUCCUUCUAUGUUUCUCUCGGUCUUUCCGAAGAGUAGGCAGGCGUUGUGCCCCUUCUGGUGGCAGUUGCCAGCCUUUCCUUCUCGCUUUCUCUUUCCUGUGUGUAUGUUUUCAAAUCAAAUAAUAAUUAUAAAUUGCAUUCGCUCAGUAGUACAUGCGUUUUCGGACUCAUUGUUUGAGAAACCCAUUGAUUGUCACACAAUUCGAACCAUAUCAAAACUGGUAUUAGAGCUAAAUAAUUUUGAAUUUCAUAGAAAGCACUUCGUACUAGUCAACGGCACAUCAAUGGGCCUUGCAAUAGGUCCCAAGUACGUCCACAUAUUCAUAGGCAUACUGAAAUAGGGGUUUAUUGAGAGCUGCGUGCUAAAACCAAUGGUUUACAAAAGGUUCGUAUAUGCCGUUUUCCUAAUCUGGUACCACGGCGAGGAAGAGUUAUUGAAGUUAAUAUUUCAGUCCAAUGCAGUCUAUGAACCAUCUCAUUCUCCCACACAUAUAAGGCUUCCGCGAUCACCUUUCAGGAUGUUAGUGUCAGUGUGCACAACAACAAGUUUGUCACAUUGUUUUACAGAAAACUUACUGAGAAGCGCCAAUAAUUACAUUUUCAUAGUAGCCAUGUGAAACAUUGUCACAUCAAUCCCGUACAGCCAAGACCUUCCGUUCAAGUGGAUAUGCACUAAAACAGAAGACUUUCAUCCAUCUGUGAACAACUCUGUAACGACUUACUACACCGGCGUUACUCUCCCUCUAUUAUCAGUGACGUAAUUAAAACAGCAGACAACCUUGA